rnacentral:rRNA from 1 species
UUUUCGGUAGGGUGAACCUGCCGUGGGAUCAGU